CCCUUAGAUGUCCUGGGCCGCACGCGCGCUACACUGAGUGUCUGAGAUACGAGUCUGCCUGGUCCGGCAAGGUCUAGGUAAUCGCUAAAAGACACAUCAUGCUUGGGAUAGAUUAUUGCAAAUAUUAAUCUUGAACGAGGAAUUCCUAGUAAGCGCAAGUCAACAGCUUGCGUUGAUUACGUCCCUACCCUUUGUACACACCGCCCGUCGCUACUACUGAUUGGAUGUUUAAGCGAGGUUCUCGAACUGCUAGCGACUUAGCUUCGGUGAGGUCGCAGUGUGGGAAGUGAACCUAGCUUUGGUGUCUAGAGGAAGUAAAAGUCGUAACA
rnacentral:rRNA from 1 species